AUUGAACGCUGGCGGCAGGCCUAACACAUGCAAGUCGAGCGGAUGAAGGGAGCUUGCUCCUGGAUUCAGCGGUGGACGGGUGAGUAAUGCCUAGGAAUCUGCCUGGUAGUGGGGGAUAACGUCCGGAAACGGGCGCUAAUACCGCAUACGUCCUGAGGGAGAAAGUGGGGGAUCUUCGGACCUCACGCUAUCAGAUGAGCCUAGGUCGGAUUAGCUAGUUGGUGGGGUAAAGGCCUACCAAGGCGACGAUCCGUAACUGGUCUGAGAGGAUGAUCAGUCACACUGGAACUGAGACACGGUCCAGACUCCUACGGGAGGCAGCAGUGGGGAAUAUUGGACAAUGGGCGAAAGCCUGAUCCAGCCACGCCGCGUGUGUGAAGAAGGUCUUCGGAUUGUAAAGCACUUUAAGUUGGGAGGAAGGGCAGUAAGUUAAUACCUUGCUGUUUUGACGUUACCAACAGAAUAAGCACCGGCUAACUUCGUG
rnacentral:rRNA from 1 species